rnacentral:rRNA from 1 species
CACGUAGGCACCAAGCGUUGUCCGGAUUUAUUGGGCGUAAAGAGCUCGUAGGCGGUUCGGUAAGUCGGGUGUGAAAACUUUGGGCUCAACCCAAAGCUUGCACUCGAUACUGCUGUGACUUGAGUCCGGUAGGGGAGGUGGGGAAUUCCUGGUGUAGCGGUGGAAAUGCGCAGAUAUCAGGAAGAACACCCGUGGCUAAGGCGGCUCUCUAGUACGGUACUGACGCUGAAGACGGCGAAAGCGUGGGGGAGCGAACAGG